rnacentral:rRNA from 1 species
ACUCCUACGGGAGGCAGCAGUGGGGAAUUUUGGACAAUGGGCGCAAGCCUGAUCCAGUAAUGCCGCGUGAGUGAGGAAGGCCUUCGGGUUGUAAAGCUCUUUCAGUUGAAAAGAAAAAGUCGUGACUAAUAAUCAUGGCUCAUGACGGUAUCAACAGAAGAAGCACCGGCUAACUACGUGCCAGCAGCCGCGGUAAUACGUAGGGUGCAAGCGUUAAUCGGAAUUACUGGGCGUAAAGGGUGCGCAGGCGGUUCUGUAAGUCAGAUGUGAAAUCCCCGGGCUUAACCUGGGAACUGCGUUUGAAACUGCAGAGCUAGAGUUCGGCAGAGGGAGGUGGAAUUCCAUGUGUAGCAGUGAAAUGCGUAGAGAUAUGGAAGAACAUCGAUGGCGAAGGCAACCUCCUGGCUAGCACUGACGCUCAUGCACGAAAGCGUGGGGAGCAAACAGGAUUAGAUACCCUGGUAGUCCACGCCCCAAACUAUGUCAACUAGUUGUCGGGUCCUAAUAGACUUGGUAACGUAGCUAACGCGUGAAGUUGACCCGCCUGGGGAGUACGGUCGCAAGAUUAAACUCAAAGGAAUUGACGGGGACCCGCACAAGCGGUGGGAUAUGUGGAUUAAUUCGAUGCACGCGAAAACCUACCUACCCUUGACAUGUCAGAAAUUUUCAGAGAUGAAUUUGUGCCCGAAAGGAAUCUGACACAGUGCUUGCAUUGGCUUGUCGUCAAGCUCGUGUCGUGAGAUGUUGGUUAAGUCCCGCAUCGAGCGCAACCUU